UACUAUCGAAGGAUUAAAUUAAAGACCUUAAUUCAUAGUUA
ncrna:unclassified sequences S4-Flavobacteria ribosomal protein leader